AGAGUUUGAUCCUGGCUCAGAUUGAACGCUGGCGGAAUGCUUUACACAUGCAAGUCGAACGGCAGCACGGACUUCGGUCUGGUGGCGAGUGGCGAACGGGUGAGUAAUAUAUCGGAACGUAUCCAAUAAUGGGGGAUAACUAAUCGAAAGGUUGGCUAAUACCGCAUACGCCCUACGGGGGAAAGCAGGGGAUCUUCGGACCUUGCGUUAAUGGAGCGGCUGAUAUCUGAUUAGCUAGUUGGUGAGGUAAAGGCUCACCAAGGCGACGAUCAGUAGCUGGUCUGAGAGGACGACCAGCCACACUGGAACUGAGACACGGUCCAGACUCCUACGGGAGGCAGCAGUGGGGACUUUUGGACAAUGGGCGCAAGCCUGAUCCAGCCAUUCCGCGUGAGUGAAGAAGGCCUUCGGGUUGUAAAGCUCUUUCGCAAGGGAAGAAAACUUACUUUUUAAUAAAGAGUGAGGUUGACGGUACCUUGAUAAGAAGCACCGGCUAACUACGUGCCAGCAGCCGCGGUAAUACGUAGGGUGCGAGCGUUAAUCGGAAUUACUGGGCGUAAAGCGUGCGCAGGCGGUUUUGUAAGUCAGAUGUGAAAUCCCCGAGCUCAACUUGGGAACUGCGUUUGAAACUACAAGACUAGAAUAUGUCAGAGGGGGGUAGAAUUCCACGUGUAGCAGUGAAAUGCGUAGAGAUGUGGAGGAAUACCAAUGGCGAAGGCAGCCCCCUGGGAUAAUAUUGACGCUCAUGCACGAAAGCGUGGGGAGCAAACAGGAUUAGAUACCCUGGUAGUCCACGCCCUAAACGAUGUCUACUAGUUGUUGGUGGAGUAAAAUCCAUGAGUAACGCAGCUAACGCGUGAAGUAGACCGCCUGGGGAGUACGGUCGCAAGAUUAAAACUCAAAUGAAUUGACGGGGGCCCGCACA
rnacentral:rRNA from 1 species